rnacentral:rRNA from 1 species
UACGUAGGGGGCAAGCGUUGUCCGGAAUCAUUGGGCGUAAAGCGCGUGUAGGCGGUCCGGUAAGUCCGCUGUGAAAGUCGGGGGCUUAACCCUCGGAUGCCGGUGGAUACUGUCGGGCUUGAGUACGGAAGAGGCGAGUGGAAUUCCUGGUGUAGCGGUGAAAUGCGCAGAUAUCAGGAGGAACACCAAUUGCGAAGGCAGCUCGCUGGGACGUAACUGACGCUGAGACGCGAAAGCAUGGGGAGCAAACGGG